AUUGAACGCUGGCGGCAUGCUUUACACAUGCAAGUCGAACGGCAGCGCGGGCUUCGGCCUGGCGGCGAGUGGCGAACGGGUGAGUAAUGCAUCGGAACGUGCCCGGUAGUGGGGGAUAGCCCGGCGAAAGCCGGAUUAAUACCGCAUACGACCUGAGGGUGAAAGCGGGGGACCGAAAGGCCUCGCGCUAUUGGAGCGGCCGAUGUCGGAUUAGCUAGUUGGUGGGGUAAAGGCUUACCAAGGCGACGAUCCGUAGCUGGUCUGAGAGGACGACCAGCCACACUGGGACUGAGACACGGCCCAGACUCCUACGGGAGGCAGCAGUGGGGAAUUUUGGACAAUGGGGGCAACCCUGAUCCAGUCAUGCCGCGUGCGGGAAGAAGGCCUUCGGGUUGUAAACCGCUUUUGUUCGGGAAGAAAUCCUCUGGGCUAAUACCCCGGGGGGAUGACGGUACCGGAAGAAUAAGCACCGGCUAACUACGUG
rnacentral:rRNA from 1 species